rnacentral:rRNA from 1 species
GUAAGGGAUAUUGCGACAAUGGGCGGAAGCCUGACGCAGCAACGCCGCGUGCGGGAUGACGGCCUUCGGGUUGUAAACCGCUUUUCGAGGUGAAGAGGCAGGACGGUAGCCUCGGAAGAAGUCUCGGCUAACUACGUGCCAGCAGCCGCGGUAAAACGUAGGAGGCGAGCGUUAUCCGGAUUUACUGGGUGUAAAGCGCGUGCAGGCGGCUUGGUAAGUGGUGUGUGAAAGCGCCCGGCUUAACCGGGCGAGGUCGCACUAGACUGCGAAGCUAGAGGCAGGUAGAGGCGUGUGGAAUUCCGGGUGUAGUGGUGAAAUGCGUAGAGAUCCGGAGGAACACCAGUGGCGAAGGCGGCACGCUGGGCCACGCCUGACGCUCAGACGCGAAAGCAUGGGGAGCGAACGGGAUUAGAAACCCUAGUAGUCC